AACAAGCUCAGUCCGAUGACACCGCCCCAGACCACGACGGACCCUCCACCUCCAAACCGAUCCCACUCUAGAGUACAGGCCUCUGUGUAAUGCUAAUUCCUUCGACGAUAAACGUGAAUCCGACCAUCACCCCUGGUGAGACAAAACCGCGACUUGUCAGUGAAGAGCACUUUUUGCCAGUCCUGUCUGGUCCAGCGACGGUGGGUCUGUGCCCAUAGGCGACUUUAUUGCCGGUGAUGUCUGGUGAGGACCUGCCUUACAACAGGCCUACAAGCCCUCAGUCCAGCUUCUCUCAGCCUAUUGCAGACAGUCUGAGCACUGAUGGAGGGAUUGUGUGUUCCUGGUGUAACUCAGGCAGUUGUUGUUGCCAUCCUGUACCUGUCCCGCAGGUGUGAUGUUCGGAUGUACCAAUCCUGUGCAGGUGUUGUUACACGUGCUUUGCCACUGUAAGGACAAUCAGCUGUCCGUCCUGUCUCCCUGUAGCACUGUCUUAGGUGUCUCUCAGUACGGAUAUUGCAAUUUAUGACCCUUUGCACAUGUGCAUUCCUCCUUACAGCAUGCCAAGGCACGUUCACACAGAUGAGCAGGGACACUGGGAAUCGUUAUUUUGGUGUUUUUCAGAGUCACUAGAACGGCCUCUUUACUGUCCUAAGUUUUCAUAACUGUGACCUUAAUUUCCUACCGUCUGUAAGCUGUUAGUGUCUUAACGACUGUUCCACAGGUGCAUGUUCAUUAAUUGUUUAUGGUUCAUUGAACAAGCAUGAGAAACUAUGUUUAAAUCCUUUACAAUGAAGAUCUGUGAAGCUAUUUGGAUGUUUGAUUAUCUUUGAAAGACGGUCCUGAAAAAGGGUGUGUGUGUACACAGUUAGUCGGAAGUUUGCAUACCAAAUACAUUAAUUCAGUUUCACGAUUCCUGACAUUUAAUCCUAGUUAAAAUGCCCCGUCUUAGGUCAGUAAGGAUCUCCACUUUAUUUUCGGAAUAAUAGUAAAGGAAAACUAUUUAUUUCAGAUUUUAUGUCUUUCAUCACAUUCCCAGUGGGUCAGAAGUUUACAUACACUCAAUUAGUAUUUGGUAGCAUUGCCAUUUAAAUUGUUUAACUUGGGUCAAACGUUUCAGGUUGCCUUCUACAAGCUUCCCACAAUAAGUUGGGUGAAUUUGUCACAUACCUCCUUACUGUGCUUUUGUAACUGAGUCUGGUUUCUAGGCCUCCUUGCUCGCACACGCUUUUUCAGUUCUGCCCACACAUUUUCUAUGGGAUUGAGGUCAGGGCUUUGUGAUGGCCACGCCAAUACCUUGACUUUGUUGUCCUUAAGCCAUUUUGCCACAACUUUGGAAGUAUGCUUGGGGUAAUUGUCCAUUUGGAAGACCCAUUUGCUAACAAGCCCUAGCUUCCUGACUGAUGUCUUGAGUUGUUGCUUCAAUACAUCCACAUAAUUUUCUCUCCUCGUGAUGCCAUCUAUUUUGUGAAGUGCACCAGUCCCUCCUGCAGCAAAGCACCCCCACAACAUGAUGCUGCUACCCCUGUGCUUCACGGUUGGGAUGGAGUUCUUCGACUUGCAAGCCUCCCUCUUUUUCCUCCAAAUAUAACGUUGGUCAUUAUGGCCAAACAGUUCUAUUGUUAUUUCAUCAGACCAGAGGACAUUUCUCCAAAAAGUACAAGCUUUGUCCCCAUGUGCAGUUGCAAACCGUAGUCUGGCUUUUUUUAUGGCGGUUCUAGAGCAGUGGCCUUUUCAUUGCUGAGUGGCCUUUCAGGUUAUGUCGAUAUAGGACUUGUUUUGCUGUUUCCUCCAGCGACUUGACAAGAUCCUUUGCUGCUGUUCUGGGAUUGAAAGUACAUUUCCAAAGUACGUCUCCUUCCUGAGCGGUAUGCCGGCUGCGUGGUCCCAUGGUGUUUGUACAGAUGAACGUGGUACCUUCAGGCGUUUGGAAAUUUCUCCCAAGAAUGAAUCAGACUUUUUUUCUGAGGUCUUGGCUGAUUUAUUUGGAUGUUCCCAUGAUGCCAAGCAAAAGGGCACUGAGUUUGAAGGUAGGCCUUGAAAGCCAUGAUGUCAUUUUCUGGAAUUUUCCAAGCUGUUUAAAGGCACAGUCAACUUAGUGUAUGUAAACUUCUGACUUACUGGAAUUGUGAUCCAGUGAAAUAAUCUGUCUGUAAACAAUUGUUGGAAAAAUUACUUGUGUCAUGCACAAAGUAGAUGUCCUAACCGACUUGCAAAAACGACAGUUUGUUAACAAGACAUGUGUGCAGUGGUUCAAAAAAGUAGUUUUAAUGACUCCAACCUAAGUGUAUGUAAACUUCUGACUUCAAUUCACAACUGCUGUUAGUCAAAACCAAUACUGCGCUGUGGUCAUGUUUCUGUGCUCCAUUGAAGUGCUUAUCAGUGUCCAAAUGUUUCAACUCUUAUAUGGAUCCAAGUGUAAAGGGCUACCACACUGAAUAAGGCUUCAUUUGACCACAUCCUUGUACCCAGACACUAACACUGCCAUUGGCAACAGGUGGUCCGGUUCGGGCAUGUCCCGUAUUCCCAUCCAUUUUUAUUGAACCUUUAUUGAAUUAGGCAAGUCAGUUAAGAACAAAUUCUUAUUGACAAUGACAGCCUAGGAACAGUGGGUUGACUGCCUUGUUUAGGGGCAGAAUUACAGCUUUUUACCUCGGCUCAGGGAUUUGAUCUAGCAACCUUUCGGAUACUGGCCCAACGCUCUAACCACUAGGCUGCCUGCCGCCCCGCUAAGCUUCCUGUCGCCCCAAUCUCCUUGUCUAUGUUCCGAUUGGCACCCUAUUCCCUAUAUUAGGGCUGUCCCCGACUAGCAAACAUCUUGGUUGGCCGAAAGUAGUCUGUUCUUUCGACCAAAUCGAAUAGUCUACAUUUUAAACGUGUAUUUUCCGUACAGACACACCCUAUGUGUUUUAAUAAGACAAAGAACAAUUAAAACGUAACCCGACAACUAUUCUCUUCCUGCUGGCUUUCUUGGGUCUGUCCUGAAGCUUGGCUCGUGAACAUGCAACGUUGCAUAACAUAUUCUGGACCCUCGGUUUCUUGCACCAGUGAGCUCGGGACAGACACAGCUGUUGGCUAUAUGUGCUCGUGUAAGGGGUCCUAUGUGUAGCUGGUGUUGGAGUCCGGCGCAGGACAGCAGAUAUGAGUAAUCAAAGUAUUUUACUCAUAAAAUACAAAUAUACAAGGCAAACCUGAAAGCCCCGUAUCACAAAUAAUCACUCACGAACACAACAUGGGGAACAGAGGGUUAAAUAAUAACGAGUAAUUGGUUGAGUGAAGCCAGGUGUGAAUAGGCACAUACAUGAAAAGUGGAUCGGCGGUGGCUAGAAAGCCGGUGACAUCGACCGCCGAACGCCUCCCGAACAAGGAAGAGGGACCGACUUCGGCGGAGGUCGUGACAGCCUGACUUCGGCAGGAACUCACCAGAGCUGAGAAACGUCAAAUGUUCUACUGCUUGACCUCCUCUUCCUCUUUUUAUAAAAUAUUACACUAAAUAUAAACUGCACCUAAAUAUAAACAGUACCGGCACCCAAAAUCCAUACCGGAACCUAUUUCAGUUCAAGUCCUGCACUGAUAACAAGUAAUUAAGUCGGCCUAUUUUAUGACAUUUCAGAGCAUUACAUUUUUCCCUUUCAAGCUGAGUGGUUAUUGAAAGGGAGAGAGCUUGAAAUAUAUUGAGGAACUAUUGUCAUUCUCAAUGGAUGUAAAAACAUUAGACUUUGUUUGCCUGCUGUUUGAGGUGGUGAAAACAUUACAUUGAUCUCCACAGGUCAUUAGUGGUGGUGAAGACAUUACAUUGAUCUCCACAGGUCAUUAGUGGUGGUGAAGACAUUACAUCGAUCUCCACAGGUCAUUAGUGGUGGUGAAGACAUUACAUCGAUCUCCACAGGUCAUUAGUGGUGGUGAAGACAUUACGUCGAUCUCCACAGGUCAUUAGUGGUGGUGAAGACAUUACAUUGAUCUCCACAGGUCAUUAGUGGUGGUGAAGACAUUACGUCGAUCUCCACAGGUCAUUAGUGGUGGUGAAGACAUUACAUCGAUCUCCACAGGUCAUUAGUGGUGGUGAAGACAUUACGUCGAUCUCCACAGGUCAUUAGUGGUGGUGAAGACAUUACAUUGAUCUCCACAGGUCAUUAGUGGUGGUGAAGACAUUACGUCGAUCUCCACAGGUCAUUAGUGGUGGUGAAGACAUUACAUCGAUCUCCACAGGUCAUUAGUGGUGGUGCGUUAAGCCAAUAAGAAAUAUCAGAUCCUCAAAUGGGCACAUUUUAUAUGCCCACGUUUGCCCGCUGGCCAGGUAGUCUAUAGGCCCACUUCUACUCAACAUUGACAGGAGGCCCCUCAAAGGACACUGACUAAAUUGACAAAACUGGUAAAUGGAAAUAAGCCUAAAUGUGUUAAUGACAAGUGUAGCAUAGGUUGUGCACUCUGACAAUGAUAGCUGGAAGACUGGAAUAAUAAUAUUGAUUGCAUUAACAGAAAAGACCAUAACCAAAGUAACAAACAUUGUAGAUUUAGAUAUAUUAUAGGAAUUAACUGGGGAUGUGUGUAAUGGGGAAUUGAUAGACGCUAACAAUCAACACAAACAAUUCACACAAUGAAGUUAUAAAACAAUGAAUGUGCACAUAUUGGCAGGAGAGACAUUCUGGAGAGGCAAGUGCAUUGUGCAUCUGGACACAUGGUCAAUCUGACAUCUGCUUUGGCCAUGCAGCAUUUACAGUGAAACGGCCUCAGAAGUCAGGGCUGUCGUCAAGGAAGUGAGUGUGUUUUCUACAGGAUGUACCGCCCCCACCUAGCCGUCAACCAAUCAUGUCAAUUACGGAAAUCUACAGAGCCCUCUGCAUUGUCCCACCCUCCCAUAUGGAGCCUCCGACCACAUUUUAGUCUAGGCCUCCACAAUGGAUUAGUUCACUGAGAUGGGUGCAAAUGUAUAGAGAUAUUUGUUACUGCUUGACUAAAAAGAACAACAUUUUGCUCGACCAACAGCGUUACGACCAAGCAAUUGACCUGUCGACUAAUUGGGGGCAGUCCUACCCUAUAUAGUGCACAACUAUUGACAAGAGCUGCCAUUUCAAUCCCAUCACCAUGUGUACUGUUAUUUAACCCGUGUUCUGGGAUUCAAACCCAUUACCACGUAUACUGUUAUUAAACCCUUGUUCUGGGAUUCAAACCCAUCACCAUGUGUACUGUUAUUUAACCCGUGUUCUGGGAUUCAAACCCAUUACCACGUAUACUGUUAUUAAACCCUUGUUCUGGGAUUCAAACCCAUCACCAUGUGUACUGUUA